CGUAGGGGCGGCCCAGGACCGGGCCGAGCUCCGCCGGGUGUGGCAGCUCGCCGAGCCCCGGCGUGCCGGAGCGGCCAUGGGGCUGCUGCCGCUGCUGGCCUGGGCGCUGCUGCCAGGCUGCGGCGCAGUGACGGGGCCCGACGUCGUGCGGGGACUCCUGGGCGCUUCCCUGUCGGUCACCUGCACGUAUGAGCCGGGCUGGGAGGAGUUGCCGAAAUUCUGGUGCAAACCAAGUGUUAUGUUUUUUACCUGUGGUGAGGACAUCAUCAUCACGUCGAAGCCCGAGAUGCUGCAGGGCCGGUUUUCCAUCCGGGACAACCGCACCCAGCGGGCAUUCACGGUGAUCGUGGAUGCUCUGUCCGAGGAGGACGCGGGCACCUUCCUCUGUGGGGUGCGAACAGGAGCAUUAUCGCGUGAUGGAAGUGCUGCUGUAAAGGUGAUUGUGCUCUCAGCUUCUUCCACCCUCCCAUCAUCGACUUAUGUGACCACCACGUCCUCUGAUCUCAUUCUCUCUGUAACAGGCCUCACACAGACAAUUUCCCAGGGGGAAAUUUUGCAAUCAACAUUAAAUCCCUCCACCCGUCAACUCUUGAAUGUGGUUGAGCACAUCCUCACUCCAGCCAUCAUUGUGGUCCUUUUUUUGCUUGCAGUGGCUGCUGGUGUUCUAGUAAUAUUCUCCAGGAAGAAGAAGGCCCUUUCUGGAGCAGCCAUAGAGAUGGACAGGACUUGCAGCAUGUCACCUACAUGCCCCUGCAGCCACCUCAGCACCCAUCAGGACAAGGCAGCAGGGGAGCAGAAGCCUUGAACUAUGCAGGCAUUUACCACAGCACGGGCGUGCACAGCAGCGCUGAGGCUUUCCACCGCCCCGAAACGCUGCCCGUGGAGUACACAGAGGUCAGGCAGAGUGCUCAGCUUUCAGAAGAGGAAAGAGAGGUGUUAUAUGCCAGAGUGCAGAAGCCCAUGCCGCAGCAGGAGCAGAUCUAUGCCAACAUGUCAUCAGCUCUACGACCCAGGGAAGAGUUCUUCAGCACAGUCUGAGGUGGAUGAGCAAGCACCUGGCCCCAUGGGCUGCUCCUGCUGCUGCAGCACCAGUGAGACUUGCACAGAGGACAUGGGGUUGAUGUUCUGCUCAGGCAGGAGCCAGCUUGACAGCAGAGCUGCUGCUCUCCGAGGCUUGGAUGUUACUUUGAGGCAACAUCAGAGAGGAUGAGGUUGUGUGGAGACACAGAGAGGGUUGAAGAUAAAGUCAUCCCUUUGCAAAUGCAAUUUGGAGUCCUCAUCCGUACAGCAGCGGUGCUGGGAUUAAAGCUCUCCCCCUUGCAGUGGGGUAGUCCAGGCCAGAGACCCACCAGGCAGGGUGUGGGAGAGGUGAGGCUGGGCUGGUGGGUGAGCUGGCUGCCUUUGCUCACCACUCAUCCCACUUGCUCCUUUGGCUGCAUUGCUCAAGGGGGCUGAGGCUCCCAAACCCACUGGUCACCUCAAACUGACAGUUUUUCACGCUAAUUCUAGCUAGCAGCUCCUGGGAACCAGGACAGUGGGAAAUGUUAUAUCCAAAUGCAUUUCCAUGGGGUGCUCAUGUGGAGGGUGAGGUGUAUCAGGAUCUUGGUGCAGAAAUGGCAUCUCCCCCGAGCCCUGGUCCCACAGGCCCCCAAGGUGGUUUGCUCCUGCUCUUUCUCUCAUCCCACCCCUGAGGACACCCAGCCUGGGAGCACACAGAUGGGCUGUAACCAUCACCUUGCUCUUUUCUGCUUUGCUGAUAACUUUUUUUUUUCCUGGCACCCACUAAAUAUUUUCUGUGGGAAGUGUUGCUGCUUUAUCAGUGACACCAAGAAUCAGAUAACACUG